rnacentral:rRNA from 1 species
UACGUAGGUGACAAGCGUUGUCCGGAUUUACUGGGCGUAACGAGCGCGCAGGCGGUCGUUCAAGUCGCGUGUGAAAGCCCCCGGCUCAACUGGGGAGGGUCACGCGAUACUGAUCGACUCGAAGGCAGGAGAGGGUAGUGGAAUUCCCGGUGUAGUGGUGAAAUGCGUAGAUAUCGGGAGGAACACCAGUGGCGAAGGCGACUACCUGGCCUGUUCUUGACGCUGAGGCGCGAAAGCUAGGGGAGCAAACGGG